UGAGUGGUUGGAUUCGGGGCCGUAACACUGUCUGAGAGGUUUACAUUUCUCACAGUGAACCGGUCUCUUUUUCAGCUGCUUC
rnacentral:pre_miRNA from 10 species